rnacentral:rRNA from 1 species
GUGCCAGCCGCCGCGGUAAUACGGGGGGUGCAAGCGUUAUUCGGAAUCAUUGGGCGUAAAGGGCGCGUAGGCGGUUUGACAAGUCAGGUGUGAAAUCCCGGAGCUUAACUCCGGAUGGUCAUUUGAAACUGUCAGACUUGAGUUCGGCAGAGGAAAGCGGAAUUCCUGGUGUAGCGGUGAAAUGCGUAGAUAUCAGGAGGAACAUCAGUGGCGAAGGCGGCUUUCUGGUCCGAUACUGACGCUGAUGCGCGAAGGUGUGGGUAGCAAACGGGAUUAGAUACCCCAGUAGUCC